UGACCCGAGGCACUGCGUUUCAGGAAGAAAGGUCUGUCUGGCAACUACCAAUUUGUAACUCGCUGAUACGAUCGGAAGGUUUCCAAGAAGGAAUCAGGUAGAGCGGCCUCCCAGCUGUCCACGUAUCCAUGUUCGCAAGAAAUUAAUCUCUCUUGACUGAGCCUCCAAGAAAAAUGGUUAAGUCAAAGGCGUGGCUUGUCACCCCGCCCCCCACCCCCCUGGUAGUCUUGCGGCUGCAUCCCCGCCAUAAAUCAAAGGCCGUGCUCCCCUUUCAUCAGGUGCCUGCAGAUAAUUCCCUAGCGAUUUCCCCGCUGGGGCUCAGAGGGCCAUGGCCUAAAGGGUUAACAUCUCAUUUCCUCUGUCUUUCAAGCCUUAAUCCCCAUCCUGAGCUGGGUGCAUUCCAAGCCCACCUGGAGCAGGUCACGACGAGCCCCAGCCCACGGCUGGCCCUUCAUUUCCCCUGGCAGGAGAUUAGAUGGGGCGCCCAUUAAUCACUCAUUACUUGGGUCCUCACUGCUGGCCAGCCCUCAGGCAGCCAGCCAGCUGGCUGGGCGGGUGGGGCGGGCCUGCCCGCUGCCCAGCCCAGGUCGCAGGCUGCCCGGUGUCACUAGACAAGACACCACAGCGUCAGCCCGCUCUCUGUCCUCGGGACCGCGCCCAGGAGGAGAGGGGCCCAGGGAGAGCACUGUGGGGCACCGCUUGAGUGAGCGGCUUCUGCCAGGCUCGUUGGAGGGACGUGCGCGGCACGUUCCGUGGAAAGAUGAGCACACAGUGCCUGCCAAGCCCUGACCGGGUACAGAGAAGGUUGGUGGGAGGAUUAAGGCACCAGGCGUAGCACACCCCAGUGCUCACGAACCGCGACCUGAGCAUGAGAGCAUCGGGCCAGCGAGGCUCCGGAAACCGGAGAAGUCAGUUCUGAAGGGCCCCGGAGAGAGAAGAGAGGGCAAAGAGGCCCAGAAAUGAUGCCCCCAGCGUCAGUCCACGGGUCCUGCAGGAGGAGGGGAGAGGGGUACCGAAAGAGGGCAAGAGGCCGCCCAGAGCUUCCCACUGACGUUCUGCCUCCCCAGCGCCAGCCUGUGGUAGGCGGUAGCUCCUGGCCUAACACUGCCAAUCCGUUAUUUUCACAGAGAAGAGUCCAUACGGACACGAGAAACCUUUGCAUCCACUCCUACGUACAUAAAUACCACAGUUCUGCACGCACAGAAAAAGAUAAAAGGUGGGAGAAGUAGAGACAAGAGGACAAAGAAGGCAAAGUGGGACUGGAACGUCCAACCCAGUUGCAUUUUCAAGUCACCCGGUGCUGGUCGCGGGCUGGCACUGUGCUACGCAGCCCGGAAAGGUAGAGGGAAGAGAAGCCUCAGGGUGCCUGGGACAGGCGGCUGGCCUGCUAGAUCGUGUCCAGGCUGAACACACGGUCUGUGCAAAGGCGGCAGGGGAGCGGGGCACCUGGGUGGCUCAGUCGGUUGAGCAUCCAACUUCGGCUCCUGAGUUCAAGCCCCAUAUCCGGCUAGCUGCUGUCAGCCUGGCAGCACAGAGC